rnacentral:rRNA from 1 species
CUCCUACGGGAGGCAGCAGUAAGGAAUAUUGGUCAAUGGACGAAAGUCUGAACCAGCCAUGCCGCGUGGAGGAUGAAGGCCCUCUGGGUUGUAAACUUCUUUUAAUUUGGGAAGAAACCCAUUUUUUCUAAGAUGGUUGACGGUACCAGAUGAAUAAGCACCGGCUAACUCCGUGCCAGCAGCCGCGGGAAUUC